rnacentral:lncRNA from 1 species
AAUCAUGAAUGUCACAAAGAGAGUGAAUAGGCCUUUAUUGUUCAUUAUCUCUUCCAGUUCCAGCAUUAGGGGGAGUCACAGAAAAUACAUAAGACCCUGGCUCAAAACUAAUAAAAGGAAGUGGUUCCUCAUGCAACAGUAGUACACCUAUGAAAUUCCAUGCCAUUGGAUGUUAUGGAUAUUUGGAGGUUACCUGGUCUUAAGGAGAGUCUGGUCAAAUUCAUGAACAUGAAGUUAAUUGAGGACUGUGAAAUCUACUAAUGGGAAAUUUCCUAAAGCCCAGGAAGAGAACAGAGAGUGUGCUUGCUUGCUUUGCUGAGUUGAAACCCUGCAGAUGACUCUUCAUUGUCCUCUGAUACUACCAGGUCCAUGGUGCAGCCUUCUUGCAGCUAGUUCUCCUCUCAUGAUUCUACCUGCAGCAUAUGCAGAGGUGCCUGGACAUACCCAGCCAGCUUUCAGGGGCAAACCUGUCACGUGAACUGGCAUGAGAGUGCAC